CAAACAUACAGUACAUAUUUAAAACAACUCUUUCUCCUCUUUUCCAGGUACUGAGUCACCGCCAAACGAACAUGAAACCACAGCUUCUGUUGGCCAUACGGGGGCCUAUGAAGAUGUUGAUCUGAUACCCAACUCCUCACCCUCAGGCCCACCGGUCUACGCAGAGGUAAACAAGCCAGAGACGGCCCCCAAACCGACAAAAGUUUCAGGCCAACCAGCACCGGUCUACGCAGAAGUAAACAAAGUACAGAAGACCAACCAAAUUGCCAAAG